ensembl:lncRNA
CCCCCCCCCCCCCCCCCCCCCCCCCCCCCCCCCCCCCCCCCCCCCCCCCGGCCGGGGCUGACAGGGGCCGGGCGUGGGGCGCUCCGCGGGUCUGUGGCCGCCCCGGGGCCCGCGGGCGGAGCUCGGCGAGAACCGCUCCGUGCUUUGCGUAACCGAUAUCUGCGCGUCCUCGAGUGACCCGGGCGCUACAGGUCGCCUGGGGCCGCUUUCCUCCGCCCCGGGCUCGCCCGGCCGGGCGGCAGCUGCCGCCCUUCGGUCUCGCCCGGCCGGGCGGCAGCUGCCGCCCUUAGGUCCCGGGCGGGCAGGCGGCGCCUGCCCUCGGGCAAGGGGCAGGUGGGAGCCACGUCCCAGCGUCCCCGCAAGAGAGAAGAGUUAACUCAGCGCCGAGGCCUGACAGUCCUGCGUGUGGAACAAGAACCGUCCUAUUUGUCGUUGUGUCCCUUUCUCCUGUCUGGCCGUGCGUUUCUCGUCCCAGCUAGCCGGGGAUCUUGUGGCAGCCCCUUGCGGGCCAGCCUCUCUUUGCGCCCUGGCGGAGUUGCGCAAGUGGCAUCAGAAUGACUUUAUGCGCGUCUGCUCAGCGAUGAAACUGGGGCAGCUUCCUGGCUUUGGGUCAGAAUUUGGCUGUAGUGAAUGCUGCAGUUGACCAGUUAUGUAGGAGUGAUUAAAGUGGACUUCCCUAAAGCUUAAUUUUAUGCUAAGAAUGCAAUUAAUUAUGCUGAUAAGGUGAACUGUGUUUGAAUUGGCCCCUCAGUUCUUGAGCAAACUAGGAGCUAUGUGGUCUCUUAUAGUUUCAAGUAUUUAUGUUACAUAUUUUGCUGACUCCCAGCUUUCUUCGUCAGUUUGGUGAAAGGUUAAGGUAAGGCGUCAAUUAUUUCAGAUGUCUUGGAAUUUUUUCUUAAGUACCUUCCUAGCAGGUAGGGCAACAGAUUAGGUCUUACUGAUCUGUUUUGUUUAAGUUAAACUUUCAAGACAGCGGUGAAGGAAAGACCAUGAGGUUUAAAUAGUGAAAUCUUACAGUACUUGCAGAAUUUAUCAAGUAAUGUCCAUCUGUAUUGAACACGUUUUCUUCAGUAUCUGUGUAGCUCAGAUGACUGUGUGAAGAAUAGAAGAGCUAACUUUUCUUCAGUAUCUGCGGCCCUGAGCAGUGCAAAGGACAUGAAAUGAAAUGGGAGUGGAAAUGAGAAUGAUUGAUUAUGGCAGAGAACCAGUAGUUAAUAUGUUGUACAGGGGGUAUUUUUUAAAAGGAUUUUUGUGAAUGCUUUAAAGAAUGUUGUUGUAGCCAGAUGACGAAUGUUUAUCAGAGAGUUUUAUAUUAGCAUAUAUUAUUACAUUCUACUGAAUUUUACAUUCACAUAAUGCAAUUGACUUAUAACUUCAGUGGGAUUCAUGUAAAUCUUGGAAAUUGUGCAAUACUAACUUGCUAGUUCCCUUACAUUUUUGAGAGGAGGGAGUUGCUGGUCUGGCUUGUCUUUGUUUCCUCUUUCAUGAAAACACUAUUUUUAUGGGGAGAAAAUUGCCUUUUGUUUAUUGCAAGUUACCAAUGCAGCUGUUGUUUGAAGUUAAUGAAAGCAUGUUGAAUAAUUUGUAGAGAGGGACCAACAGUGCUAAAGGAACAUCCAUCAGUAUUUCAGCAUUGUAAAGUGAACCUUGUAGAGCAGUAUAUCACUGUCAAAUAAGUAUUUUUCUAAGGGGUUUCUGAAGGGGGACGGAGGGGGAAAUCUUGUCUUGCUUUAGCUGCUGCUGCUCUGCCUGAUGCCCUACAGGUAGCAAAAGAGACUGUGGCACUAAUACUACUUCAGCUUACAAUACCUACUGCUAAAGCCAUAAAGCUUUACUCAGCUGGGAUUAGAAAUGGAUGUUUUAUGUGACUAAGGGGAUAAGGUGUGGUUUAUAUGGGUCUCUGUGCUGCCUAUCUAAACGUUUCACACCGCUCUCUGUAUUCUAAGCACUAACCUGCGGGCUGUAUUUAUCCUUAGGCAUUCUUACAGCAGCUGUUCAGCUGUUGUCUUGUAAAUACUGUUAUUCUGCCAGUUUGCUUUUUUUGCAGUGCUCUUUUUAAAGAUAAGUUAGCAGUCUGCACUGUGGUUAUGAAGCUAUUUGGUUCAGAUAUCAUGCAUAGCCAUGUAGAAGGUUGAGAAAUGUAAAGUGGAAUUAAUUCUAAUGUUUACAUAUGCUGUCUUUAAUGUUUAAGUGGGAUAGGUUAUAUAAUUCCAGUUAGAGUUUUACCAGACUUGGUGAGUGGACUUCAGUUUAUUGUACUUACACUUGAGUUUGGGGAUUAUUUUCCCCAAGAGUUCUUAGUCUGCUAUAAAUGAGUUCUGGAUUUAAUUUUUAGCUAGUUGAAAUCAAAUUGUAAUUCACUGUUGAACUGAAGGGUCAUAAUACUUAAGAAUAGUUUCCCCAGCUAUUUGAUUUAAACUUACUGAUAUGCAAAGGCUGUGCUUUGUAGUGGUGUAGUGCCUUGGAAGGAAGGCAGGCAGGUGAUACAGCUCUCAGUAAAGCUGUUACAAGUGCAGUUCAAGGGACAGUGCUGACAAACUCUCUUCUGAUAUGGACGCGAGAAGAUUCUAGGGUCUUUCAACAGUCAGAAGCGAAUUGCGGAGAACUUGUAAUGGGCUAUUUUCAAUUUAAUUCUCAUUGGUGUUGCUCUGUUUCAAAAUAAUGUAUUUGCACACACUGAAAUAAAUUAUGUGACUGCGUUUCCAUCAUAAGGGCUCAGCCUUAAGUAUGUUUGGAUGCUGUAAACUGGAAUGCAAUUUCUUACACUGAAAUUGAGAAUUUAGUUGACUGUGAGAAACAAAAGGGAUUUUAAAUUUCGGGAAGGAGUCCAGUGAUACCAAUAAGAAUAUGGUAAUAAUACAAUCUGGGUGCUAGUAAUUUCGAGUAGAAUUUAACAUUGUUACAAACACUUUGUUUCUUUAUGAGAUAGUUUGACUUGUGAUUUUAGUUAGCAAAGUUUCAUUUUUGUGGCACAACAGCUACAAAACCGUGGUCGUGUAGUUUACUCAGACUUAAUUAAAGUGACAUUGAUUUUUAGAGCUCUUAUUUCAAACCCCAGAAAAUGUAACCCCUUAUUUCCCAGAUAUUAUUACCUUAAUUUUCUGGCAAAAUACCAGUAUUCUGUGAGUAGUUCAGGCUGUGAAAUAUUUAUGUAGCUAUUUUCUGAUAGCUAAAUAAAUCAUCUGAACCAAAUAUGAAAAUCUAGUGAGCUGAAAUUUAGUAAUAGUACAUUGCGAUUUUAAUGCUAAAGUAUUAGUCUUUUGAACUAUUUUUUCCGUCUGAAUGAAAGCAAAAUCUUGGUGUGCAUUUGUGUAAUCCAAAAUAUUUGAAGAAGGGAGGGAAUUUGAAAACUUUUGACUAAAAACUGUUGGUUUCUAGCCUGUGUUUAAAUUAUUCACAAGAUAAACUUUCCAACCUAUGCCAAUGCAAGCGUGAAACUCAUUGUUGCUUUUCCAGUGCUUUUUCCAAGUAAAUGCUUUUUAUUAAACAUUAACAUUGUUUAAAUACUAACUUUGCAGAGACACUGACUACAAAGUUAGGAAAAUUAUUGCUUAAUUGAAGUGAGAUGGGAUAUGUCAAUACUCCAGUGCUUUACCAAACAGGAUUUAAAAGCAGUGUCUGCUUUGCUUCAAAUUAUUAUUUAGUUUCUUAUGACUAUGGGGCUGGAGGUUUUUUACUUCAAAGUUCUUAAUUGAUUCAGGUGAUGAUAAAACCUUGACUCUUGUUUUUGUAGUUCUUAAACUUGGCUUCUUACCAAAGUGUGUUUCUGAUAAUACUGCUGUCUGAAAAACCCUACCAACUGUUGGGUCUCUUCAGACAGCCUACUCAGAAAAGGAAUUUUUGCACAGUUGGAAACUUGCACAGCACACUUGGGAUUGAUGGAAGUACAACACGUGAACACAGGUCCUAAACUAACUUCGUGUUUGUUCAGGAAACAAAGCAGGAUUACUGUGGACUUACUGUAGAAUUCAAGUCUGAUCGCUUGUUUGUGGUUCUGAAACUUGCCAUUGUUCUAGGAGAUGCUUCUGAUAGGCACAACAUGGCUUUCAGCUCUCCUGUUCCAUGCACGUGUGCAGCUCUGAACUGUACACUUGUGUUCAGGCAUGCAAUUUGUACAUACACUACCACACACUGUGUGCAAUGUGAAGUUUGUCUUUCAGUCUGUUCAUUUCAUUAAAAGAAGAGAAGAUGUAGCUGGUUGCUUU